rnacentral:rRNA from 1 species
AUACGGAGGGUGCAAGCGUUAAUCGGAAUUACUGGGCGUAAAGCGCGCGUAGGCGGUUUGGUAAGUCGGAUGUGAAAGCCCUGGGCUUAACCUGGGAACUGCAUUCGAUACUGCUUGACUAGAGUAUGGUAGAGGAAAGCGGAAUUCCCGGUGUAGCGGUGAAAUGCGUAGAUAUCGGGAGGAACAUCAGUGGCGAAGGCGGCUUUCUGGACCAAUACUGACGCUGAGGUGCGAAAGCGUGGGUAGCAAACAGGAUUAGAAACCCCAGUAGUCC